rnacentral:lncRNA from 1 species
UUCUUUAGUAAAUGGUGAUUAACACAGAUUUUCCCACCCAUUCUGAGAAGUCGAUCUAGGGCUUAGGAUCUGAACAAGUUGCUUUGCAUAGGCUCUGCUCUGAAGACUGAGGUGGGUCUGCCACUCUGUAGGCUGAAACACGAGCUCUGGAGACUGUCAUUUGCACUUGUGUCUAGAAGUGCCUGUCUUCUGACUAUCGUAUUCUUCCAUGGAGCACCGGGGUGGCAGGUCUCCAGGAGAACCCAUUCUGCCUUUCAUUGAGGUUGCCUUCCAUCCUGGAGUCAAGUUCUGCCCAACAUCACAGGAUUUAGUUGCCUCCUUCACUCCUUUUUGGCUACUAGGCUACUAUUCUAUAUACUAAGUAUCGCACUCUGAGUCUUCCUGGCCAAUAUAACUGGAUUGAGAAGCACCUAAAAGAUAGAUCUUUGGGGACCAAAUCCACGCCCUCAUUCAUGAUGCUCAAACCCUCUACCUCCGAGUCACAUCGCGGCCCUGUGAAUGCUUAUUCUCACGAGUGUCCUGAAGCCUCCUGGCAGGAUCUCUGGACUCAUUAAACAGUACCAGUGCCUGGGCCAGCAAGAUGGAUGGCUUGGUGGGUAAAGGUGCCUGCUACAGAGCCUGAGGAUGCCAGCCCAACCCCUGGAACCCACACGGUGGAAGAAAACUAACUUUAACAAGCUGUCUUUUGAUGUCCACAUGUGAGUUGAGGUGUGAGCCCCCCU